GGAAAAAAAAAAAAGUGGGAUGGGCUAUACCUGGAAAGGCAACAGCCAGGUAGAGACCUAGAGGUUGGAAACAGGCAGAUGUAUUCAAAGGUCUAGAACUAAGAGGGAGGCAGCUGUGUCAGGCAUGGGUCAGUCCUGAGCCCAAGCUCUAAGCUCUGCCGCUUAAGAGGUGAAUGUCCUUGGGUGACAGAUUUAACCUCUCUGGGCCUCCAUUUCCUCAUUUAUAAAGUGGGUUUGAUAAAGCACUGACCUAGAAGGGAUGUUGUGCAGAUUAAGUGAGAUGACAGAUGGAAAGCUGCAUACAGUGAGUGCUCAAAAAUUGGUAAUUAUGUGCUCCUUUUCGGAGCACUUCAGCUUCAUCUCUGUCUCCUCAGCAUUUAGAGCACAACUUGACACAUGGUUGAGGUUCAUUUUUUUCAUGAGUGAAUUAAUGAGCACAAUUUUUCUUUUUUUUGGCUGUGCGGCUUGCGGGAUCUUAGUUCCCAGAGCAGGGAUUGAACCUGGGCCUCAGCAGUGAAAGCGCUGAGUCCUAACCACUGGACUACCAGGGAAUUCCUUAUUUCAUGUGAUUUUCACUGGACAAGAGUCCAGUGAGAUAGGCGAGGUAGAGAUUAUUUUCUCCAUUUUAUAGGUGGAGAAACUGAGGCCCAGGGAGGUGAAGUGACCUGCUCAGCAUCAGCCAGAUGAACAAAGAUUCCUGUACCGGCCUGUGAGAGGCGUGUUGGCUGAGCUUCGGCCAAUGCCAGAGAUGGACCCUGCUUUGGAGCUGCGGGGAAGAUUUGAGCAGCAGAAGCUUUUAAGUGAAAGAAAAGGUGGCGACAGGAACCUACCCACUGCGAGAGGACCAGCCAGGCUGAAGGAGAGGACCGCUGGGAAUAACGCAAAGAUUUUCGAGAACUUUUUUGAGUACUAGAAUACAAAAAAUUGGAAAAAAAGAUAAGACAAUCUAUGCCCAGCCCUGGAGUGUUGAUGGUGGUGAAGCAUGAGAAGGUGUGUGAUUUUCUUCAUCUUUUGAAUGAUUUUAUGAAUAAAUAUUAUACGGAAUUUGAUGAGUAUUGUCAGAUCACCUCUCUCCUCAAAAAGGAUUGUACUAAUAAUGUAUGGAUGUGCUUUUUUCCCAAUAACUUCACCAAUUUUGGGUUUUAUUAUUUUACUUUUUUUCCUGUUUAAUGGGUGAGAGAUAGUACGUCAUUAUUAUUUAAAUUUGCAUUACCGUUUGUUAGACUUAAAGUUGAAGGUCCAGAAUUGACCAGUGUCAUUGACAGCCUCAGAAUGAUUUUCCUCAAAAUGUUAAUUCUUGGGGAAUUCCCUGGCGGUCCAGUGGUUAGGACUCUGUGCUUCCACUGUAGGGUGCCUGGGUUCGAUCCCUGGUGGGGGAACUAAGAUCCCCGCAAGCCACACACACGGCCAGAACAAAGAAACAAACGAACAAAAUGUUAAUUCUCGAUUUAUUAUACUGAAUAAAACAAGUCCAUGUUUAUUGUUAAAGUAAAUUUAAAAACCUACUAGGUCCGUUAUUGAGAGGAGAAAGUGGCUCCUGCUUGAGCUUCUGCCAUGAUUGUUUCUGCUUAUUCAACAUUAAUUCCAGGUUCUGAGAUGGAGGCUCACAAAGAGAGGGGUGGGGUUGGAGACCACAAGUGUAAAAACUCCUGUUCAUUUUGUGGCACCUCAUGGCGGCCCUCCCAGUGGCUGUUUUUACGUACCUUCUAAGUCACUCUCCUUGUGAUGGGGCAAAAAUGGUCAGUGAGAGGCUGGCGUAGACACGUGCCCCCCAGCCAAAAAAAGAGUCCUGUAAUUAUUGGUCCAAUUUCUCCUCCCUCCAUCUUCCCUUCCUAAAGAAGACUGAUUCUUCCGUGUGGGAACGUGGCUGGGUUGAACUGGGUAUGGAGGAGGAGCAUUUUUGAUUGAUUGAUUUUUUUUUUUUUUGUGGGAGAUAGAGGUUGAGUAGCUCCAGGGCAUGAGGAGAUUUUAAUUAGUGUGGCUUUGAACUAUGUAUUUGACUCCCUUUAAAUCCCUUGAGAGGUGUGACUAAAGAAUGAAAUUGCUUGUUAAUUACUUUAGGCUAUUGGGUUGUAUUUCUUGUGUCAGAUACCAUUCUGAGACUGAGUCACAUGUGCGCACAUCUUAUUAGGGUUCCACCCUUACUAAUGAAGACUUGGGCAUGAGCUCUUGAGCCUCCAACACCCUGGGGUCUUGGCUCCUUGACAGCCCUGCCACCCACCACCAAGGCCACACCUUGGACCCUGUCAUCACCCGAAACUGCUCCACCUCUGAAAUUACAAUUCAGAUGUCCCACUCUUUUUUGUUGUUUUUUGUUGUUUUUUGUUUUGUUUUGUUUUGUUUACGGUACGCGGGCCUCUCACUGUUGUGGCCUCUCCUGUUGCGGAGCACAGUCUCCGGAUGGACACGCAGGCUCAGCGGCCAUGGCUCAUGGGCCCAGCCGCUCCGCGGCAUGUGGGAUCUUCCCGGACUGGGGCACGAACCCGUGUCCCCUGCAUCAGCAGGCGGACUCUCAACCACUGCGCCACCAGGGAAGCCCAGACGUCCCACUCUUUAGUGACAAUCACCUCCCCCCAACCCCUGCCCAUUUUCCUCUACCACACCUCUCCUCUGACCCCACUGGGUCUUCUAGCCCAUGGAUCCCUAUUGUUCUGUCCAAGCAUCUUUUCCCUUUUCUGUUGGUAAUGACACCCACUUAUUCCUUAGAGGAAACUUCAUUUUUUCUCCCAUAUGGAUAAUGUGAUUCAGGUGAGGCUGACUCUACCCUCACAUCUGGGCAAUCAUACUUCAGAUUCUUGGCCACAUCAAUUGGUCAGGGGUGGGCAUGUGACCCUGUUCAGUCCAGGGAGAGCCAACCCAGUACUAUUGCUGAGAUGCCAGAGAAGGGGACGUUUUCUUUCUGCUCAUGUGACUCACCUUGCAGGACUUAGCCUGGACUUGUGAGGGCUGUCCUGGGGUCGAGAGCCUGCAGGAUAAGGAGGAAGCUGAGCAAAGAGGGGAGGUUCCUAAUAAUCUUGUUGGAGUAUCUGGUACCAACCAUUCCUGAAACUACCCUGGGUUUUUCAGAUAUGUGAGUUGAUGUCUGAGAUCUGUGAGUCAGGAUUAGAUUCUAUCACCUGAAACAGAUGUGGCUAUUACAGUGCUGCUCCAUUGAGGCUCUAGAUGAGGGGUGCCUGGAUGUGGUUGCUCAUCAGAAUCACAUGGGAAGAUUUUUUUCCCUUAAAACCUUUAUAGAUACAGAAAAAAGCAUGAAACAUAAAUGUAUAAGUUAAUGUAUUAUUACAAAGCCAACUCCCAUGUAACCUCAUCAAGGUCAAGAAAGAGAACACUGGGGAACGUUGUUAGCCUCAAAGCCUCAGCCCCUCCUCCCCUUCACGGAACCACCACCCUGACUUCUGUACAAUCUCAUUCUUGCUUCCCUUGAUCAUUUUCAGGCUGAGUAUGUUUUCCUAGACACUAUGGGGUAGUUUUGCCUGUUUUAUUUAUUUAUUUUUUAAAGAAGCACCUCUCUUCUUUAAUAUUUGCAGUUAUUUUCUAAUAUUUAUUUAAUUUAUUUUUUGGGCUGUGUUGGGUCUUAGUUGCAGCACACGUGAUCUUUGUUGCGGCAUGUGACAUCUUUCAUUGCGGCGCGGGGGCUCUUCGUUGUGGUGCGCGGGCUUCUCUCUAGUUGUGGUGUGUGGGUUUUUCUCUCUCUUGUUGUGGUGUGCGGGCUCCAGGCCAUGUGGGCUCUGUAGUUUGGGGCGUGCAGGCUCUCUCGUUGAGACAUGUGAGCUCCGUAGUUGUGGCACACAGGCUUAGUUGCCCCGUGGCAUGUGGGAUCUUAGUUCCCUGGCCAGGGAUCGAACCUGUGUCCCCUGAAUUGGAAGGCGGAUUCUUUACCAUUGGACCACCAGGGAAGUCCCAGUUUUGCCUGUUUUAGAAUGUUGCACAAAUGGAAUUAUUUAUUAAUCUUAAUGAAGCCAAAUUUGUCAGACUUUUCAUUUAAGGUUGGUGCUUUUGUGUCAGGAAAAGUAAUCUGUCACCACCCUGAGGCUUUCAUCCUCAAACUUUUCUUUCACCUUCUAUCACCUUUUAUAAUCUUUAUUGUUCUUUAUUCUAAUCUUUUAUUGUCUUUAUGAUCCCACUAUUGUGUGAGGUAAGGGUCGAGUUUCAUUUUUUCCCUGAUAUGAACACUCAUUCUGUUUAAUGAAAAGGCUCAUCUUUCCCUGCACUCUUUAGUGCUACAUAAAUCACAGCUUGUGUCCAUCUCGACAUCAGCUUCUAGUCUUUUCUUCAGUCUGUCUAUCCUUGCACAAAUACCACCCUCUCCUAAUCACUGUACUUUUAUGAAGUUUGAUAUUCAGUAGAGCGAUAUUCCCAUAUAUAUAUAUUUAGGAAGCUAUUCUUGGCCAUUUCAUUUCCAUAUGUAGUUUAUUUAUUUAAUAAAAUUAAUUAAUUAAUUAAUUAAUAUUGGUUGCAUUGUGUCUUCAUUGCUGCAUGUGGGCUUUUCUCUAGUUGCAGCGAGUAGGGGCUACUCUUUGUUGUGGUG